GCUCCGGGCGCCCCGCGGAGGGGACGGCCGUUGGGGCCGUUGGCGGGAGGGGUCACCUGAUCGCCCGCGCGUCCCCGCCGCGGCCUCGCUCUCUCCCGGCGYAGGUCCCGCGCAGCGCGGUUGAAAGCGUCACGUGGCUGCGCCCGCCGCCAGUCAUAGAGGCAGGCGCGGGAGGGUAGAGCGGCCUCGUGCUGACGAGCUCCCGCGCCGCCAUCUUGGUUGUGGGCAGGAGCUGUAAGGCGGCGCCUCGACCGUUGCUCUGGCGCCGCGCGCGUGAGGUGGCUGCGCCCGAUCCGGCCUCGUCCCGUCACCGCCGCUCCCGGGCCCUCGCCGCAGGGGGGACGGUUGUGGUGCCCCCACGGGAGAGGAACCCGGGGCCGCGGAGGGGCGCUGCCGCUCCCCGCCAGGCGUGCGGUGCGCCUCGGGCGUCUGCCGCCGCCGCCGGAGAAGGCGGAGAGGAACGGGAAGGUGGCAAAAGUUGCUGGCGGUGAGGACAGCCAGGCGGUCAGGGGCACAGAGGUGCUCUGGUGCGCCCUGAGAACUGGGAGUGAAUCAGUGAAACGCCACCGUAAAGACGAAGUGAAGUCUUGCUCCCUAGCAACCCAAGUGGCAUGUUUACUGAGUGAAAACAGGGCAUUUUGGAGCAAGGCUAUCCAGCCUCACCGCUCCAUCCUACAUUUGCCAAAUCUCUGCUUACUGCUUUCUUCUGACUUGAUCUGGAGACUUGAUGGACUGCUUUACAUCAGGGGAGUUUCAGGCCCAUUUAGAGAAGUUGCAGCAGAGCAGUGCUGA
rnacentral:lncRNA from 1 species